GAUGAACGCUGGCGGCGUGCUUAACACAUGCCAGUCGAACGAAGCACCUCUCCCGAAGAUUGACACAGCUUGCUGUAGAUUGAUUCAUUUGAGGUGACUGAGUGGCGGACGGGUGAGUAACGCGUGGGUAACCUGCCUCAUAGAGGGGGACAACAGUUGGAAACGACUGCUAAUACCGCAUAGUAAGAAGAAUUCGCAUGUUUUCUUCUUGAAAGAUUUAUCGCUAUGAGAUGGACCCGCGUCUGAUUAGCUAGUUGGUAAGGUAACGGCUUACCAAGGCGACGAUCAGUAGCCGGCUUGGGAGAGUGAACGGCCACAUUGGGACUGAGACACGGCCCAAACUCCUACGGGAGGCAGCAGUGGUGAAUAUUGCACAAUGGGGGAAACCCUGAUGCAGCGACGCCGCGUGAGUGAAGAAGUAUUUCGGUAUGUAAAGCUCUAUCGGCAGGGAAGAUAAUGACGGAACCUGACUAAGAAGCCCCGGCUAACUACGU
rnacentral:rRNA from 1 species